GCUGGGCAUGGUGGCGUGUGCCUGUAGUCCCUAGCUACUCAGGAGGCUGAGGCAGGAGAGUUGCUUGAGCCCAGGAGUUCGAGGCUGCAGUGAACUAUGAUCAUGUCACUGAACUCUAGCCUGGGUGACAAAGUGAGAUCCUGUCUCUA
rfam:Homo sapiens chromosome 20, GRCh38 reference primary assembly.